UACGAAGGGUGCAAGCGUUAAUCGGAAUUACUGGGCGUAAAGGGUGCGUAGGCGGUUCGUUAAGUCUGUCGUGAAAUCCCCGGGCUCAACCUGGGAAUGGCGAUGGAUACUGGCGAGCUAGAGUGUGUCAGAAGAUGGUGGAAUUCCCGGUGUAGCGGUGAAAUGCGUAGAGAUCGGGAGGAACAUCAGUGGCGAAGGCGGCCAUCUGGGACAACACUGACGCUGAAGCACGAAAGCGUGGGGAGCAAACAGG
rnacentral:rRNA from 1 species